UACGGAGGGUGCAAGCGUUAUCCGGAUUUACGGGGUUUAAAGGGUGCGCAGGCGGAUAUGUAAGUCAGUGGUGAAAUCUCCGGGCUUAACCCGGAAACUGCCGUUGAUACUAUAUAUCUUGAAUGCUGUGGAGGUAAGCAGAAUAUGUCAUGUAGCGGUGAAAUGCUUAGAGAUGACAUAGAAUACCUAUUGCGAAGGCAGCUUACUACGCAGAUAUUGACGCUCAUGCACGAAAGCGUGGGGAUCAAACAGG
rnacentral:rRNA from 1 species